rfam:Planktomarina temperata RCA23, complete genome.
UUUGGUGAUCAUAGCGCCAAUGAAACACCCGAUCCCAUCCCGAACUCGGAAGUUAAGCAUGGUCGCGCCGAUGGUACUGCAGCUCAAGCUGUGGGAGAGUAGGUCAUCGCCAAUC